ensembl:lncRNA
AAGUGAUUCAGUUAUAUGUAGGUGUGUGUGUAUAUAUGCUUGUCCAUACUCUUUUCCAUUUUAGUUUAAGAUACUGAAUAUAGUUCCCUGUGCUAUACAGUAGAGAAUUGUUAUUUAUCUAUUUUAUAUAUAGUAGUUUGUAUCUAAUCCAAAACUCUUAAUUUAUCCCUCCCCACAAGCCCAUCCCAAGCUUUCCUCUUUGAUAACUAUAAGCUUGUUCAGACCGAUAGACUCCCAGAAGAAAGGGAAAAGGGGAUUGAAAAUGUGUUUGAAGAAACUAUGCCUAAAAACUUCCCAAACCUAAAGAAGGAAACAGAUCAGAUUAUCCAUGUAUAGGAAGCACAGAGGGUCUCAAAUAAGAUGAACCCAAACAGGUCUACACUAAGACAUAUUAUAAUUAAAAUGGCAAAAGUUAAGCAGAAGAUACUAAAGACAGCAUGAGAAAAACAAAGAGUUAGUUACAAAAGAACCCCCGCAAGUCUAUCAACUGAUUUCUCUAAAGCAAGAGAUUAUCUAUAUGGAAUGAAGUAAGUCAAACAGACAAAGAUAAAUACCAUAUGAUAUCAGAUAUAUUUGGAAUAUUAAAAAAUGAUACAAAUUAAAUUAUUUACAAAACAGACUCAUAGAACACAGACUGUACACUUAAAAUAGUUAAAAUGAUUGAUUUUUAUGUUGUAAAUAUUUUACCUGUGAAAAAGGUUUACAUUGUUUUCUAAUUAUAAUUUUUCAAGGUAAUUUGCUAAUUUGUUUAGAAACAAAUGAAAAUCUAACAAGCAUUAAAAUAUUCUAGAGGAACAAAGACUCUAAACUUGUAGAAGAAUUUAUAAAUUUGUUUUCCAGAGGAAAUAGAGAGCAGAGUCACAUUCAGUUCCAUCUACUAAAAGAACCAUCAUUUUCCUGACUGGUUUAUAAAGCCACAUUUGCUAAAGCCACAUCUGUGGUGUGCUAAAUUCUCACAGAAGUGGGUGUGUUUGGCUAGUGAAGACCUUCUCUGCUUGGAUAUCGAGAUGAUGGGAUUUGCUCUGGUACUAUAGUUGCAUGUGACUGGAGCCAGAUCAUAUGGCUGCUGCUGCAGCCACUCUAGUGUGUUUGAAGUGGCAUGGGGCUGCAGUCAUGCUGUUAAUAUGCCUGGCCCUGUUGCACAGUUAUGGCUUCUCACCAACCAGCCGAGUCAUUCACCAUUAGCAGUGAGCAAGGGUAUAAUCUCCCCUCAGGACCCUUCUCUCGACACAGAGUGGACUGCACUUGCUGCAGAGCUCUUUCCCGAGUCCCAUUCAAACCCAGCAGUAUCACCUGAUAUAUGGGUCAGGUAAGUACUUUCAAGUUUCAAAUACACAUCCUCCAGAACCCAGAUAGGAUUACCAAGCACUUUUAAAAAUCCUCAUCACUGAGAUCUGUGACAUGUAAUUAUCUUUCAUUUUUGAGGGGAUAUCUUAGCAUGCUCCUAAGAGCCUUACUGAUAUGGUAUGCCAUUGAAUAUUUGUCUCCUACCCCUUGGAAUACAUAUGGCUAUAAAGGCAUCCAAAAUACUGUGACCUCUUAGCCAUCUGGAAUAACGAACCUAGUUCUGAAGACAUAGCUGAUGUGCUGUUUAUCAGAUGUCUGACUGGGUCACAUCUCUUCAGACAUAUGAGAGGCUGAGAGAGUAAACAGUGCCAGAUAGACAUAUAUACUGUUGUCCAUCCCAAGUGGAUGCAAAUUCAUGAUCUUUUCUGGUAAAAAUGAAAAAGAACACAUAUAGUGGCUCAAUGGACACAUGCCAUAUACCACAGGCCAUGAAAAUCUGCUCCAGCACUUACACCUCCUCUCUCCUGGCAUCUAUCCAUGUGCCUACUAGUUGAGUCCAGAGCGGGCAGAUUAGCAAAUUAAACAUAUGAUGGAGUCCACCAUGCCUGCAUCCUUUGAGUCAUUAGUUUCUGCAUUUAUUUCUGCUGUUCUCAUAGAUGUUUUUCAAAUUUACUGGCUUAGAUGGUCUGAAGUAGGUUCAGAGGCCUCUAUUUGGCCUUCCUCACUAUAUUUUUGUUCUGUUUGUGACAAACCUAGACAGUGUAUUAAGAAGCAAAGACAUCACUUUGCUGACAAAGGGCUGUAUAGUCAACGCUAUGAUCUUUC